rnacentral:rRNA from 1 species
CUGGCGGCGUGCUUAACACAUGCAAGUCGAACGGGGAUCAUCGGGCGGAAGGCUUCGGCCGGAAGGCUGGUGAUUCCAGUGGCGGACGGGUGAGUAACGCGUGAACAAUCUGUCCCAGACAGGGGGAUAACACUUGGAAACAGGUGCUAAUACCGCAUGAGACCACGGUGUCGCAUUGCACAGAGGUAAAAGGAGUAAUCCGGUUUGGGGUGAGUUCGCGUCCGAUUAGCCAGUUGGCGGGGUAACGGCCCACCAAAGCGACGAUCGGUAGCCGACCUGAGAGGGUGAUCGGCCACAUUGGAACUGAGAGACGGUCCAAACUCCUACGGGAGGCAGCAGUGGGGAAUAUUGGGCAAUGGGCGAAAGCCUGAACCCCAGCAACGCCGCGUGAGUGAAGAAGGCCUUCGGGUUGUAAAGCUCUGUUAUAGGGGACGAAGUGCGUGACGGUACCCUAUAAGGAAGCCCCGGCUAACUACGUGCCAGCAGCAGC